rnacentral:rRNA from 1 species
GACGGCGCCGCCCCGGGGCUCGUGAUAUCUCAUCUCGCCGCCCGUCGCGAGGCGGACGGAGGGAUGGAUGAGGUUACCUGGAAAAAAUCGGGGCGAUCUAGGCGGGCGAACCUCGCCAACGAACGAUCGGACAUGGGAUAACGGAAGAGGGCGUCGGCUCGACUUCGUCGGUUCCUCGGGCCGAGGCACGUACGGUGAAUAGGGACGGUCGGGGCCGCCCGUACCGGGUCGUGAGAGGUGAAAUUCUAGGAUCGACCCGAGACGAACCGCCGCGAAAGCAUUCGGCAAGGACGCUUUCAUUAAUCAAGAACGAAAGUCGGGGGAUCGAAGACGAUCAGAUACCGUCGUAGUCCCGACCGUAAACGAUGCCGACCGAGGGCCCGGAGGAGUUACGUACGACCCUCCGGGCCCUCCCGCGAGAAAUCAGGAGUAUUCGGGUUCCGGGGGG